AUUGAACGCUGGCGGCAGGCCUAACACAUGCAAGUCGAACGAGUGGCGGACGGGUGAGUAAUGUCUGGGAAACUGCCUGAUGGAGGGGGAUAACUACUGGAAACGGUAGCUAAUACCGCAUACCAUCAGAUGUGCCCCGAUGGUAUUAGCUUGUUGGUGGGGUAACGGCUCACCAAGGCGACGAUCCCUAUCUGGUCUGAGAGGAUGACCAGCCACACUGGAACUGAGACACGGUCCAGACUCCUACGGGAGGCAGCAGUGGGGAAUAUUGCACAAUGGGGGAAAGCCUGAUGCAGCCAUGCCGCGUGUAUGAAGAAGGCCUUCGGGUUGUAAAGUACUUUCGGCGGGGAGGCGGUAGCCGGAGAAGAAGCACCGGCUAACUCCGUGCCAGCAGCCGCGGUAAUUG
rnacentral:rRNA from 1 species